AUGACAUUCUCUUAUGUCGCUGCUGGAUGGGCGGGUUCUGCAUCUGAUCAAGCUAUUCUAAGAUGGGCUGUUACUAGUGGGGGUUUAGUUGUUCCUGAAUGUAAAUUUUACCUUGUUGAUUCUGGCUACGCAAAUACUCCAAGAUUUAUUGCCCCGUAUCGCGGAGAUCGCUAUCAUAUUGCUUCUUUUCGUGGAAGUAAUCGGCGAUAUACUGGAGGACUUGUUCAACCAUCUACAUGCACAGUUGCGGAAUGUUGUUGA
rnacentral:rRNA from 1 species